GACGAACGCUGGCGGCGUGCUUAACACAUGCAAGUCGAGCGGAAAGGCCCUUCGGGGUACUCGAGCGGCGAACGGGUGAGUAACACGUGAGUAACCUGCCCCAGACUUUGGAAUAACCCUCGGAAACGGGGGCUAAUACCGGAUACGACACAGCUUCGCAUGGGGUCUGUGUGGAAAGUUUUUCGGUUUGGGAUGGGCUCGCGGCCUAUCAGCUUGUUGGUGGGGUGAUGGCCUACCAAGGCGACGACGGGUAGCCGGCCUGAGAGGGCGACCGGCCACACUGGGACUGAGACACGGCCCAGACUCCUACGGGAGGCAGCAGUGGGGAAUAUUGCACAAUGGGCGGAAGCCUGAUGCAGCGACGCCGCGUGAGGGAUGACGGCCUUCGGGUUGUAAACCUCUUUCAGCAGGGACGAAGCGUAAGUGACGGUACCUGCAGAAGAAGCGCCGGCCAACUACGUG
rnacentral:rRNA from 1 species